rnacentral:sRNA from 1 species
ACUUCGGAAAGGAGGUGGUUCGGCAGAUGUAUGCAAACCGGACGGAAGAGGUGGCUGCGGGCUAGUGGCCCGCCGUCGUACUCGGUUCGGCGCCGGGCCAGCGUGUGCGAGAUACACGCAGCCGGCCUAACCCAACGCAGUCACCCGACCCGCGAGUCGCCGGUAACGUCCGGCCGGCUCCUCCCCCAGGGGAGGAACCAGACUCGCGGGUCGCCUGCG